CCUACGGGAGGCAGCAGUCGAGAAUUUUUCACAAUGGACGAAAGUCUGAUGGAGCGACGCCGCGUGGAGGAUGAAGGUUCUUGGAUUGUAAACUCCUGUCACUGCAGAACAAGGAUACGUUCGUUAAUAGCAAACGUAUUUGAUGGUAUGCGGAGAGGAAGGGACGGCUAACUCUGUGCCAGCAGCCGCGGUAAU
rnacentral:rRNA from 1 species